GGAGUCCUCACAGGGUCUGCCUUGUGCUGGAUAAAGAGGGCGUCCGGCUUUGGGGGCAGAGGCGGAGCGGGGUCUCAGGGCAGACCAGAGGGGGCCAGCUCGGCUUUCCGGCUGUCAGAAGACCUCGCCCCGCCCCACCUCGCCUCCCUUUGCCCCAAGCGCCCCCCCCCCAGGUCGCCCCGAGGAACUGGCGCAGGAUGUGAGGGCAGAAUGUGGAGGCCAGGCUGCCUGUGUGCUGAGGAACUGUAAGGUUCUGUCCGAGGGCCUAAGGGAAGAGUGCCUGUGGGGGCUGCUCCACUUCAGCAGUCUCUUGGCACAGAAACUUCUCAAUGGCACACCUGUUAAAAUUGUCACUGCUGAAACGUUAAGUGAUGAAAGUUACUUCAAGGACAAAUGGCCUGCUGACUAGUGCAACAAGCUACAGGAAGAGAUUUCCAAAAUGAGGAGCUCCUGGCUGGAAGCCACAGUGGGACAGGAGACGUUGAGGCAGGCGGCAUCCUUGGUCCAGCAGGUAGCCUCCAUGCUCUAAGAAAGCACACAGAGCCGGCCUCUGACCUGGAAGGCUCUGGAAGCUCUGGCACCAGGGAACAAAAGGAAGAUCAACAGGAGGAGAAAUUAAUUGUAGCAGUACAUUUUGGAGUCAAAAGGACAACGUCCUAGGGAGCUUGGGAGUAGAGGGACUUCCUGAGCAGAAAUGGGCAGGCUUUUCACCGUGGUUUUGCAGUAUUCUAUAUAAAAUUUACUUCAUAUGUAAA